GGAUGUGCCCAGAUGGGAUUAGCUAGUAGGUGGGGUAACGGCUCACCUAGGCGACGAUCCCUAGCUGGUUAGAGAGGAUGACCAGCCACACUGGAACUGAGACACGGUCCAGACUCCUACGGGAGGCAGCAGUGGGGAAUAUUGCACAAUGGGCGCAAGCCUGAUGCAGCCAUGCCGCGUGUA
rnacentral:rRNA from 1 species